rnacentral:lncRNA from 1 species
UCUGAUCAAUCACCAUUCUCUGAUAGAUAACUUCAACCCAUCACAGCAUAGAAACGCAUAAUGAAAGAAAAUGGCAAGGUGAGGGCAACCAACGAACAAGGCAAUGGCAAUGGCAACCCACCACGACACACAACUAGCAAACAAAAGCAAAGAAGCAAACUAUGAAGAAACGAGAUUUGGGGCAAGGUGAGAGCAACCAGUGAACGGGGCAAUGUCAACAGUAACCCACCAUGACGCACAACAACAACGAAAACAAAGAAGCAAAACUGUGAAGAAAUGAAAUUUGAGGCAAGGUGAGGGCAAAACGGGGCAAUGACAAUGGACACCCACCAUGGCAUAUAACCAACGAACGAAAACAAAGAAGUGAAACAAGAUUUGGAGCAAGGUGAAGAAGCGUAGAAGAGACAAAGUGAAGAUCGAAAGGAAAAGUGGGGGCAAAAUGACAAAACUUUCUAUACCAGUUAUAGGGUCUAACACGUAUAGAAAAAAAUCUUCAAUAUUACAUUUCUGUCACCGUUCUAUACUUCUAUACCUGUUGUA